UACGGAGGGUGCAAGCGUUAUCCGGAUUCACUGGGUUUAAAGGGUGCGUAGGUGGGUUGGUAAGUCAGUGGUGAAAUCUCCGAGCUUAACUUGGAAGCUGCCAUUGAUACUAUUAGUCUUGAAUAUUGUGGAGGUCAGCGGAAUAUGUCAUGUAGCGGUGAAAUGCUUAGAGAUGACAUAGAACACCAAUUGCGAAGGCAGCUGGCUACACAUAUAUUGACACUGAGGCACGAAAGCGUGGGGAUCAAACAGG
rnacentral:rRNA from 1 species